AAAAAAAUAAUCGCAUAUCACUUGACACUGGGAAUUAAUUGAAUGUUAAAAUUCGAAGUUUAAACGAUAAAGGCUAUUUAGUCUAAGGUAUCAUCAAUGACUGUAAUGGCCCUGUUUGGAGUCAACACUUACUGAGUUAAAUGUCAUUAACUAAGGUAAAAAACAAAACAAAAACCCAAAACGUAAUUGCGCAAGUGCAGUCAUCCCAGUACUGAACAGAUACCCUUUGAUGUCAUCAUUCCUUGAAGCUUAUUGGAUAUCAUGACUUACCAACGUUAAAUGGCCAUGAGAUAUGUUAAUAUCCCCUUUUUCUGUGUUCAGAGCUUACCAAAGCAAUAGCAAACCUUGCAAAACCAUGAAAGAAACCACACAUAUAUGCGACAUGGAUUCGGGUUCUUAACUCUGAUAAAACUCCGGGUGGAUCCAGUGAAAUUAUUGCACCUGCUCCAGAAGGGAAUUCUGCGGGGAGAAAAAAGAGUCAGUGUGUGAAAUUGGAUAUUUUGAAGCGGCAGAGGGGAGGAAGAAUCUCCCCAGUGCGCGCCUCUGGGUACCCUCCUACCACCGACAUCAAAAGAAGCGAGCCGGUCGGUCAGAUAUAACGCUUGAUGAACAGAACACAGACCGAAGAUGACAAGAGAGAAGUUUACAAGGAGGUUUUACACGACAUAAGAGAUUUUAUUCACCACCAGCGACAACACAGUCUCCCUCUCGUCCCAGCGUGUCCAAGCACUGACUGUCGGACCGAUGCGUUUUACGCAUAUCCUUUUCAGGUAUGUCGAUUCGGUCUCUCGGUAGGUUUCCAAGCCUUCGUGUUGUACAAAUACUGACAUUCAAGUCAAAGGAAUACUGUUUAGCCUUCUCUAAAUUAUCACGGUCCCACGUGAACCUGAAAGGCGCAAUAACCUCUGACGACAUCCCCUCAGCUGAUAAGUUCAACAUCAUUUCCCUUGAAGAAGUUUAAUUUUAAUAUUACAGUAUAAUGUAGAGUUUGGGGCAUUAGCUUACAGUGUCAAAUUUUUUUUUUUUUGACUUUGAAUUUAUAUCAGCCACCGAUUACUAUCUCGGCCAUUGCGGAUGUUUUAGAUAUUCAGUUUUAUUUUUCAAUUUUCUUUCUGUUGUGAAUUUGACGGCCCAUUAACACAGAAGUUAUUUAUCUUCACAGGUUGUGGUCACGCGUGCGUGUGCGCGCUUGCAUUCGUUCGUUUAGGGAGGCAAGUGGGGGGCUAGGAGGUCUGCCACCAGACGCUGAAACGACAUUAAAUCACUGGGCCAUAGAGCUUUCAGAAACUGACCGAGUAAGCUGGAGUGUGAGGGAUAGCUCCUCACUUGGUGCGCGAGUAAAUCUCCACUUUAUCAGGGUCCGGCAGGCAGGCGCCUCCACGCAAGAAUGAAAUGUUCAAGUCGGUGCCUUCCGCGUAAAGUGUAGUCCACGGAUAAAGGGAUUCUCCUCUCACUGCAGGACUAAAUUGACUCGCGAGUCCGAGGGAGAGUCAGACUGGGCGACACAAAGACAGUCAGAGAGGUUGAUAUGGUGCUAUAAAGUACGACUACAUCCUCAUCCCCUCUUUACAGGCGUGCAGCAGAAAUAAAAUUGGACCUGGACGGGGAUGGGAAGAGGAUGGAACCUGCAGCCCUGACGGCACUGAUGCUCUACUCGUUGAGCCAUGUAGAACCACACCUGUCUCCGUAAUGCAGUGGUGAGGCAGGUCUGGUGCCAGAGGGACUUUUCUUCCACGUAUGGACCUCGCAGUGGGGAGCAGAGACACCCCUCAAAGUGUUCUGUCAGCAUCUGCAGGGAAACGCCAAUCCGAGCAGCAGCAGCAGCAUCGGCAUGAGCUAUCGAGCCAGCUAUCGCUUCUGAAAUGCAACACCAACUCCAAUAGUGCUGAGAUAGCUCAAGAGAAAAGGCACAAUGCGCUGUGCUACUGUAAAUGCACGUGUGCUUAAAAUGCAUGCACAUGUCAGCUACAGAGUGGUCACAACUCAAGAGUCUACUUUAAGCAGUUUCCCCCUACACAGUGAUGCAUAUUACUGAUAUUAAUUGGUCUGCAGUUGUUAUAUGAGGGCAUUCCCCUGCAGACAUUUGACUAAACAUGUCUCAAGCUGGAAUUCUGCUGACUUGAACAGCCCAUUCAGUAACAAGGCUAAUUAUAUACUUGAAUUAAAAAUUAAUAGUGUUAAGGUCACUCAGAGAGUCAGUUUGUAUGCUGCAUCCUUAUAACUGGCUGCGUUUGUUUAAAUGUUCUGUGUGCAGUCAUCUUGUCAGUGCAGUCUUGUUAAAACUGAGCUUAUUUGCUACUUUUUAAUCAGCAAGUGCUUCUGGUUUUCUCUUUUUGUAUCAGUGCAAACACGGAUGCGCGUGCAUGUGCAGGCAGACCCUGUCUUCGAGUUAUGGAAGCAUUUCCUUUGUAAAUGCAUCGUUCAGAGUGUGAGCUCUUCAAACACACCCAGCUUGUGAUGCAUUUAAUCGCAAUCCACAGUGUAGAUGAAUAGUCUGUAGAAAAACAGAGCGAGAGAAAAAGAAGAUCAAGGUCACAGCCUCACUUGCUCAAGAAUUUGGUUUGAACGCAAGUUGGAUGUUGUUGGUGCUUUUCUGGGAAUUAUCACACACUCGCACACACAUUACUUCAAGGAUGGCAGCUCAUUCGGCUUCAUUUACAAUCAAUAGUCUGGUGGCUUUGAAAUGCUAUUUCAUAAAGCUGCUUUGAAAUGAAAAAAUUAAGUUUUUUUUGAAGUGAUUAUUUCCUCCGCUGAGAUUAUUUGUGAAGAAGGCUGAGUCACUUAACUGUUACUGGAAGCUGCACUUGUACAGGCCAACAGACUUUCUUCUUGUGCUAUUUUCAACCAACCUUCUCAUCGCUUAUACUACGCUUGUAGACGGGAAAACCUAAAAGGAGGUGAUCUGGUUAUCUGACCUUGUUACAUAUUCCUCUUUUAUCAACUUUUUUUUUAAAACAUUGCCUUACAGCAUAAUCAUUUAUUGAUGUCCAUUUUUAGACAAUGAGAGCAUGUGUGCUUUCUGUGUACAAGCCAGAGGCAGAACAUCAUUGUAAGUGUGUGCAUGCAUGUGUAUAUUUGUAUGUGUUUGUGUAUAUAAGCGCUGUGGCUGGUGUGUGUGUUUGUUUGUGAGCCAAAGCUGCUGGUACAGAAUACUGCACCAUGCAAAUCUGGUUGAGGAGAACAAAGAUGUUCUACAAACACUGUUUGUUUGAAUCGGGACGAUCCCAGCAUCCAGAACCCGAGAGAACAGUGGCUCAUUCACACAACAUCAAGAGAAGGGACCCAGAGCAGGGACCAGCUAAGGUCUUUUUAUAAAGGUUGUGUAUCCCUAGAGAAUAACAAGGAGAGGAAAAGUGAGGAAUAGAAAAGCCUUCGUCCAUUAUGUGCUGUUCAUAAUAAAAGGGAUUUGUAGCCAGUUUCUCUUCAAAGACAUGCCUGGAAAAACACUAAAAUCCUUCUUCUAGGUAAACAAAACUUCCCUGGUAAAAUGAUAAUCAUUUAAACCUCUUUACAUAUUACCAAACAUGUUGCCUUUUAAUAUGUUUAAUUUUAAUUUUAAUAUGUUAAUAUGUUUGCAAAUACACAAUAGUCCCAAAAGUAUUCACUCAUCUGCAGAUGUACUUGAGUGACAUCCCAUUCUUUGUCCAUUGGGUUUAAUAUAUUGGGCCAAGUUUUGCAGUUAUAAUAGCUUCGACUCUUCUGGAAAGACUUUCCACAAGGUUGUGGAGUGUGCUCAUAGGAAUUUGUUAUCAUUCACUCAGAAUGACAUUUGCGAGGUCAGACACUGAUGUUGGAUGAGAAGGCCUGGCUUGCAGUCUCCUCCCUAAUUCAUCUCAAAGGUGGUCUGUUGGGUUGAGGUCAGGACUCUGUGCAGGCCAGGCAAGUUUUUCUACACCAAAUUAACUCCUUCUUGUCUUUAUCUCGAUUUGUGCACUGGCACACAGUCAUGUUGGAACAGGAAGGGGCCAUCCCAGAACUGUUCCCACAAACUUGGGAGCAUGAAAUUGUCGCUGGAGGAUUAAGAGUUCCUUUCACUGGAAGUUAAGGGGUUGAGCCCAACUUCUUAAAAAGAAACCCACACCAUAAUGCCCCCUCCACCAAACUUUACACUUGGCACAAUGGAAUUAGACAAGCACCGUUUUCAUGGCAACCGCCAAACCCAGACUCAUCCAUCAGAUUGCCAGACGGAGAAGCGUAAUUCGUCACUCCAGAGAAAACUUCCCCACUGUUCCGAGUCCAGUGGCAGCGUGCCAUGGGAACCCAUUCCAUGAAGUUCUAUACGCACUGUUCUUCAGCUAAUCUGAAGGAGGUCUGCCACCAGUUGGUGACCUCACACACACUAUGCGCCUCAGCAUCUGCUGACCCUGCUCUGUGAUUUUUACAUACCCUACUGCUUCAUGACUGAGUUGCUGUCUUGACCAAUAACUUCUACUUUGUUUAAAUAACACUAACUGUGGAAUAUUUAGUGGCUUUAUAUUAUUUUGAAUAUUUCGAUAUUUCAGGAAUGGAUUUGAAGCACAUGUGGCAUCCUACAAGAGUUAACAGAGUACCACACUGGAAUUAACUGAGCUCCUGAGAGCAAUUCAUCCUUUCAAAUAUGUUUGUAGAAUCAGUCUGCAACGCUUGGUGCCUGAUUUUAUGCACCAUGGAAGUCACUGGAUGGGUGAGUGAACACUUUUGGCGAUAUAGUGUUUUAUUUCAGCUUAGAAACUAAAGUAGCUUUGCUUGAUUGAGAGUUCAGAAUAAGCCUUACUGAUGUUAUACUGAGCUUUACUGCAGCCCCUAUGUUCAUCUGCCUGAAACAAGCUGUUUUAGCUUCUCUCUGUUUGGGAAAAUUGUCUUUGGCUAGAUGCCCCUUGUAAACAGAAGGUGGAUGGAGCUGCUGUGGUCACAGAAGGAAUAUCCCUUUUUGAACCAGCCCUCAUUUCUUUGCCUUUUCCUUCAUUUUUCAAGAAGCUCCACUUUCUGGUAGUUUUUUUAAAGUGGUCUUCAGCAACAGUUUUCACCAGGCUUUCUGACGGUCUUUCACAUUGGUUGUUUUGUGAAAGACCUUCAGUUAUUUUUUGUUGGUCUGUUAAGCCAUUUAACACUGAUCUAACACUGAUCUAUUAAUCAUUCAAGCAUAUAUAAUGCUCCUAACUCAAGGGAUGAACAAGUGUUGUAUGAGCACAUCAACAUUCAGCAAAGAAUCAACUUCAUAUUUGAUCUUAAGGCACUUUGUUACACAUCAUUUGUUGACAGUCUCUUUACGUGAAAAAUGUCUAAGUUAAAACAGUUUUGAUGGGCACAAAGUUGUGUUUUUGUCCAAGCAAAGUAAGAAAAAAAUCCAGCAAAAACCAGACACAGGACUUGAGAGUUACACCUAGACCUUCAAUUGAUCCAUGUGAGGGACCAAGCAGCCAAGGCAUAGAGGACACAGAAAAACUUUUCUUCAAAAUGGGUUUUCUAUAUUUUAACCCUCGAAAACAGUUCAAAAAGACAAAAUUCUAAAAUAUAAUUAGUGGGCCCAUAAAAGAGGUCAACUAAAUAUAACUCUGCAAAAAGUAAUUUCCAGAAACUUAAACAAACAAAGUGGGCAACUUAGCUCACAAACUGACCUAAUUACAAAGACACAAGAGGGUAGGUUUUAUAGUGGUUCGGCCAAACCCUAUUACACACAAUAGGGGGAAACAAAAAUAAAUACUAAUACUAACUAAGCACAGAAUAACAGAAGUAAACCUAAAACACCCCUGUUUCUGAUAAGCACAUGGUUGGUCCUGCUGAGGAGGCAUUUUGUUCUUAAAGUCCUCAGCCACACCUUUUGCCCAGACAGGAAACAGCCACCAUCCCAAACCAGGUAACUCAAAGAAAGAGAAACAUAAUUAAUAUAACAGAAAACAUUUAUAGAAAAACCACACAAUGCUACUAUCCGUGCGCUUCAUAAUAUCAGUGUAAGGUUCAAGUAAAAUAAUGAAUUAUAUUAGUGAAGCAACUGCAAACCAAACUAAUAAAGUGAACGAAUGGACUCGUUUUACCUAUGUGUGGCUGAUGUCAUCACAAUCCAUCUACUGUUCAGUAAAGCCUCAUUAGAAAUAGUCGCAGUGGAAGGGUGGCUUCCAACAAGCCAUUCUUAAUGAAGGGAAAUAGGAAGAAAAGGCUGAGGUAUGUCAAACAAUACAAGAACUGGGCUGUAAAUCAGUGGGAACAGGUCUGAUGGAGUAAUGAAUCCAAAUGUAAGAUUUCUGAUUUGUCAGCUGUCUGUAAACAUCGUGGAUGCUCUGUCAGGGUUUGGGGCUGUAUGCCAGCCAGUGGUGUUGGAGAUCUUGUCAAAACCAGUGGCAUUAUGAAGAGAGAACAGUGCCAUCAGAUUUUAAUCCACUAUGUAAUACCAUCUGGAAAGCAACUGAUUGGCAACAGUUUCAUUUUUCAGCAUGACAAUGAUCCCAAAUGUACUGCUAGUGCAGUAAAAGCAUAUCUGGAUAGAAAAACACAGAAUGGAACACUAUCAGUCAUGGAUGUUUGCAUGUUUGAAGAAAUUGCUGCGCGUUCUCCUCAUUUUUCCUAGCAAGAUAAAAAGAAAUGAGGGUUGGUUCUAUACUUUUUUUUUUUUUUU